GUACCCUUAAUUAAAUUCAGAGAAUAGUUUCCUGCUUCCACCUGUUUCCAGUCCCUAUGAUAAUGAACGACUCCACCAGGUAGGUGGUCUCCGUGGCCAGCCGCUGCUCCUGAUCGAUGUUGUAUCCCACGUAGCAGAGCUUCUCCUUCAGCAUACGCACGGUCUCAAAGUCGGCUGAGUGGUUGAAGGCGUAACCGCGGAGCAGCAGGAGCUGGUGGUGAAGGUGAAGGUGGAUAAAAAAAAAAAAGACCAGACAGUACAUCUGAAACUCUGCCGACUCACCUUGAUGAGGUAGCGUGUGAUGUCACGUCCAGCGAUGUCCAGCCUGCGUGUGAGGUGGGGUAAUGAAAAGCCCUCGUACACUGGACAGAUGUGGGUGACACCAUCCCCUGAGUCAACCACCACACCGCAUACAGAGUGAGCACCGCCUGAAUCGCCACAUAGAUGCCGUGGAACUGGUACUUCUCAAACAUGACCUCUGCGAUCUUUUCCCGGUUCUUGGUGGGGUUCAUGGGUGGUUCAGUCAGCAGGAUCUUGGAAAGCACCUGCCCGGCGGUUUUAUACCUUGCAUUCUGAUGGGUCGAUGUUCAGGCGGUCGGCACCGAAGGUGUAGUCCCACAGGUGGAGCAUGUCGUCCCAACAGCGCACCAUACCGUUCUCCAUGGGGUAGGACACCUC